AUGUCUUGCCAUUAAAACCAGCAGCAGUGCCAGCCCCUUUUCAAGUGCCCUCCAAAUGCCUCACUUCUAAGUGAGGCACACCAGUGCCCAGCCCCAUGUGUCCCUCCAGUCUUGUUCUGCCGCAGUGUCAGCUCCGGGGAUUGUUGUGGCCCCAGCUCUGGGGGCUGCUGCAGCUCUGAUUGGUGGCUGCUGACUGAGCCACCACAGGCCGUCUCUUCCACUGAUACCAGACCUAGAACCCUGACUGCUGUGAGUGUGAGCCCACUAAGGGCUCUGGCUGCUGCCACAGCUGUAGGGGCUGCUGCUGA
rnacentral:lncRNA from 1 species